GAUGAAUGCUGGCGGCGUGCCUAAUACAUGCAAGUCGAGCGAACAGAUGAGGAGCUUGCUCCUCUGACGUUAGCGGCGGACGGGUGAGUAACACGUGGAUAACCUACCUAUAAGACUGGGAUAACUUCGGGAAACCGGAGCUAAUACCGGAUAAUAUAUUGAACCGCAUGGUUCAAUAGUGAAAGACGGUUUUGCUGUCACUUAUAGAUGGAUCCGCGCCGCAUUAGCUAGUUGGUAAGGUAACGGCUUACCAAGGCAACGAUGCGUAGCCGACCUGAGAGGGUGAUCGGCCACACUGGAACUGAGACACGGUCCAGACUCCUACGGGAGGCAGCAGUGGGGAAUCUUCCGCAAUGGGCGAAAGCCUGACGGAGCAACGCCGCGUGAGUGAUGAAGGUCUUCGGAUCGUAAAACUCUGUUAUUAGGGAAGAACAAAUGUGUAAGUAACUAUGCACGUCUUGACGGUACCUAAUCAGAAAGCCACGGCUAACUACGUG
rnacentral:rRNA from 1 species